AAGCAGAGAUCUGAACUGUUCCAGAAUUUCCUGGGGGAGUAAAACCUACUCCGUGUUUUCGGUUUGCAUUCAUUUUGUUCUGUGCUUGUGCCUGGGAAAUGGUGAGAAAAGAGGCAGAAGGGAGGAGAUUUGGCUCAGGUCCUGCACUCCAUUAAAGGGAGUAAUUUCUAUGAAGCUCAAGGACAGUGACAAUUUGUGAUUGGCAAGGGAUGGGGAAGGGGCAGAGGACUGGUCUGUGAAAGAGAGUUUCCAGCCCUACUUGAUGGCUUUAGGCUGCCAGAACAGAACCAUCCUGUGCAGGAGCCAGGAGCUGGCCCUGAAUCGGGGAAGGGGGUGACUCCAUAUCAUUCUGUGUCUACUGACAGUGUUCAACUCAUAACUCACGUCUAAUCUGCCCUCAGCCCGGGGACUCCCAGUUCUGCCUUGCCCAGCACUUUGGACGUGACGUGUAUAUAAAAAUAUAAAAAUGAUCUCCUGAUGUGUAUAUAAAAAUAUAAAAAUGAUCUCUGUUUCAUCAUGGACUCUGCUCCCCCGUUCACUGGUCCCGCAUGCCCCUGGGACCUGCCGUCACGGCGAGGAGGAACAAAAGCCAUCAACUAACUCAGAACCCAUCAUCUUUCUUUCCUGUAGAGAAAUCAACAAACCCCAGCCAUUUAUGCAUCCUGAAUGUUUCCCUAAUCUUGUCUAACUGUAUCUGUGACCAUUCCUGAGCUAAGUUUAAAAAACAAAACAAAACAAAACAAAACAGCUGCACAAGUUGAGUAUGAGGAAGAAAUGACAUAAUGCAAAAAAACAGUCAGCAUAGAAGGCAAAAAUGUUCUUUCCUUGUGGUAACUUAGAUUUACCAGCACUGAGUGCCUGGCAUGCUACAUUAAGAAGAGCUGGGUCCAUAGCUCUGUAUAUCCAGUCAAGAGUGCUGCCAUCAGUCAGCAAUGUCUGCCCCGGGCAAAGGAGGGGGAACUGACGUGUAAAUGUCAUAUAUAAUAAUCCCUUCUUAUAUCUAGCCAAAUCUAUUUUGAGACAUGCAAUCAACCUAAUGACAACUUUUCUGGAAAAGGUCUAUAUUAAAUAUUAAAUGAUUAAAUGUCGAUGUUGAUUUUCGUAUGGAUCCAGGUUUCAAACUCAUAAAAUGUGUGUGUGUGUGUGUGUGUGUAAGAAGGAAAUCAUUAUUUGCUAUCCUUUCUCUAUCAAAACCUGCUUGAGCUCUUCAACCAAAAAUCUGAAGAGUAUUCUUUGGAGUAUAACUAAAUGUUUAAAAUCUACUCAGGCUUUUCCCACUCUGGCUGCUUCUUGUUUCUGUGCGUAGCAAGAAAAGAGGUAGAAACAGGGCGGAGUUUCUUCGAUGUACUUGGUAAGGUUUCUAAUGUCUGACACAUAGUAGGUACUUGGCAAAUAUUCAUGGAAUGGAUUUUGAAGGAUGAGCUCAGUUUCUGUGCAUUUUUUAGUGACUUGUGAAUAUUGUCACGUAAGCUGAAUUUGAAUGUAAUAUGCCAUCUCCUGUCAAAUUGUUCUCCCUGUGAGCAAACAUUAUGGUUGUUAAUUGGGAUAAGCCAUGUGGACAUUGGUUGUUUUUCUCAGUGAGGGGAUGAGCUGGACGGAAGAAAGAGGGAGGGAUUUUCCUGCCAAUUAUUCACACUUCUGUAUUUGUUUGUUUGCUGUCUGUCUGUCCCUCAUAUUUCCCCUCAUAUGUUCCCUAUCCUUGGACCCCUAACCCAAAGCUCUGGCUCCCCAACCUCAGCUCUACUGGCAUUUGGUAUAGGAUAAUUCUUUGUCACAGAGGACUUUUCCUGUGCAUUUGUGUGACAUUUGGGAGUAUCGCUCACCUCUACUCUCUAGAUACCCAUAGCAACCCACUACCCCAAGUCGUGACAACCAAAAAUGUCCCCAGACUUUGCUGAAUGACCCCCAGGGAGCAAAAUUCCCAGACUGAGGACUACUGCUAUGGUGCUGCGCCCUAGCCACCACCUUCCCUGGGAACAUGGCUGGUUUCUUCCUUCCUUCUGAGAGAUUUCAGCAUUAAGGCACCUCCUGAGCGAGCCUUGUGACCACUAGGUUCAAGCCAGUCUCAGAACUCACCAUCCUGUCAUGGUGCUUUAUUUCCCUGCAGAGCACCUGUCUUUCUCUGAUAAUUUGUUGUGUGUUGUCUGCCUCUCUAUGCUGGAAUGUGAGUUCCAUGAGGGGCCUUUCUAUCUUGAUUAUCUUUCUAUCCUAGGUCCUAGAAGUGCCCAACACCUAGUAGCUUCUCAAUAAAUGCGGUUGAAUGGAUGAAGGCAAGGAGGAAGUGUUCAGGGAAGGCUCUCUCUGGAGGUGAUAUCUCCAGGAUAUGAAGUUGCCAGCCAUGGGAAGUUUGAGGAAGAGCAUUCCAGGAAGAGGAUACAGCCAUUGCAAAGCCUGUAGGCAGGGAUGGGCUUGGCAUGUGAAGGUUGCUGUCAGGGGGCAAGGGGAAGAUAGGAGGAGCAGGGCCAAGAGCCAAAAAGUAGCCUGACUGGGAAGUCCGGAAGGCCAAGCUGAGGAGUGCAGACCCUGUUCUAAGGUGACAGAAAGCCCUUUGGAGACCCCCUAGAUGCCUACAAAUUCUGUUCCUGGCCUCCGGUCUCUUUCUUCUCUCUCCCUGGUCUCCAGCCUCACCAUGGGCAGGUGGGGAGGAUUUCUAAAUCUGGUCUGAACUCUUAAGUCUAAAGCAAGAGCUGAUGCGGCCCCCGAGCCACAUCUCGGGGUGGGAGAGGGUCCUCGCAUCCAGGAGGCAAAGCUGCCCAGGUAUUUCUUCUCUCAGCAAAAGCUAGCCACUUUUUGCACCGGCAUGGACCUGCCCUUACGCUACACAGGAAACCACAAAUCCAAGCCCUGGCAAGGAAGGCCUGGACUUUCUGCUUGCAGCUCCUCACAGAAAUCAGCUUAAAGAAGUGAUACGUAGGAAAGAGUAUCAAAGAGACUCAUUAUGUGCAGUGAAACCAUCUGGAAGCCCUUGGGUCAGGUUAACUCCACACUAUCAGAGCCGCUUUCCUCAUUCUGGGCUGCAGUGCUAUGGCUGGGCUGGUAUUGAAGGUCUUGAAGAAUAAAGCUGAGUUUUUGCAUUUGAUAUGAAGAACUUUAUAGUCUAUUCAGUAUCUCUGGCAUAAGAAGACUUUGGGUAAUGAUAACAGCUACUUUGUUUUGUUUUUGGUUUUGUUUUUGUUUUAAUUUUUUUUAAUGUUUAUUUAUUUUUGAGAGAGAAAGAGCGAGAGCAGGGGAGGGGUAGAGAGAAAGAGAGAUAGCACACUUUGUAUUGAAUAUUUACCAUGUUCUAGGCUCUAUUCUAAGCAUAUCAUGUAUAGUAGUUCACUGAAUCCUCACAGCAAACCUGUAAGGACCAUGCUAUGACUAUCCCCAUUUUACAGAUUAGGAAACUGAGGCCCAGAGAGGUGAAUUAGUUUCCCUAGAUUCACUAAGGAUUCUAAAUCAGGUUUGGUCAAGAAGUCCACACUCUAACCCUUACAUUAUAUUCUCUUUUUUAAGCCAAUGCCAGAAUAUGUCACAUUAUCUUUUAAAAUGAAUAAGCCAUUUGCUUCAGCAAUUCCACUCCUAGGAACUGAGCCUAAGGAGGUAUAAGCAUUCAGUGGCAGAGAUGCAUUAUUAUUUAAAAUGUAGAACACAACCGGCAUCUCCAUGAAGAGGGGUUAUUUAAAUAAAUUGUGGUUCCUCCGUAUAAAAAGAGCUGUUCAGAAUGACAUUAUCCAUAUGUACCAACAUGGAAAGACAUCUACACUACAUUUUUAAUAGAAAAGUCCAAGAAAUUGCAUUUUUAUAAACAGCGAUUUGGUUUGAACAAUGGGAUUGCUAAUGAUUUUUAAUUUCUUCUUUUGGCUGGCCUAUAGUCUCUAGUUCUCCUACAACGAACAUGUACUACCUUUGUAAUAAGCAAGAAACCCAAUAAAAUUUAUUGGAUAAAAGAAUAAACAGCUGGAAAUCAUUCUCUCCUGAGGAAUUAGCAUCUUGUCUGACGACAAGGGCUACAGUUGCUUUGCUGGAACCUUCCAUUUAUCUCUCAGGAUCUGCUCUCAGCCAACGGGGAGACGAUGCAGAUGGAGGAAACAAUGCCUAAAAUGAUUCAGCCAUGAGUCCAGAACAGACGAGGAGCCACAACCCAAGCCCAGCUGAUCGUUUGCCAAACCCCACAGGCUUCCAUUUUGCACAGGACCUUAUGCUGGCUCUGCCCAGUUGUCCUAACACCACCUUCCCCACCCGCUCUCUUCUCUCUUCUCUGCCAGUGAAAAUAUAAUGAGGCCAUAUACGUAAUUUUACAUUUUCUAGUAACCACAUUAAAAAGCAAGUGAAAACAGGUGAAAUCA